rnacentral:lncRNA from 1 species
CAACUUCCUCUACCAUAUUAUUUGGAGACAAAAAGCUAGAUACAAUAUAGUUUCAUCCAUAAAUACUUCCUCCAAUGGUGACCAAGUAGUUUUAAAAAUCAUGAUGAAGUUGGCUUGCUGGGAAGAUGGUGGUGUAGGCAGACUCUGAACUCACUUCCUCUCAUGGACACAACCAGGCUACGAUUACCCGUGGAACCAAUGACCUCUGAGAGGGAAUUGGGAACUCGAUAAGAAGAGCCCCCACAACAAGGGAGAACGCUGACAGAGGUGGAAGAGGCAGAAAUACCCCUCCGCUGAGGAAAAACCACAUCCUAGCUGCAGUGCUUCAUGACCAGGAACAAUCUUAGGCUAUGAAGCUUUUCCUGGAGGAGCAGGGGUUCUGAGUGGAAGAGCUAUGCCACAGUAAGCAGGCUUUGAGUUCAGCACAACCAAGAUGAGUGCCGUAAUACCUGGCUGUGCUGGCUAUUAAAAUCAACGGGGAAUACCCUCAGAAAAGCUGUGGAACAUAAGAAAAAGAAAAGCCUACACUUAAAGGGCCCAUGCACAGAUUCACCUAUUCCAGAAACCAACACCGAAUCACCAGAAAAAAAGGUGUAUAGUCCUUUAGUAAAAGAGACUUACUUGAUAUGCUUUGAGUGCAUCUCAGAGAGGCAGGAGGUGGCUAGGCCCACCACCCCAGGGACUGAGACACUGGCUGGUGGCAGCCAUUAUUGUGACCUAGUACAGGGGUGUUGACACAGACGCUGGCGGAUGCCAUUGGAUUUCUUCCUCUGGUCUGUUAGCACAGGGGUUUGCCCCACUCACUAGAGCACUAAUUUAAUCCAGCUCAACCAGGGAAGGCAGCCUACCCUGGGGACUGGCCCUGUCCACCAGCAAGCCCAUGGGGAACUUGUGGGCCCAGCACUCAGAAUUUGGAACUGAUGGGAAGCUCCGAGCUUGGCAAGUCUGUCAGUUUGCGUAGCAGUUUGGGCGCAUUGGAGGUGGAGGCAGAGCUGGUGCUAGAACCGUGGGCUGCUGAUCUGUGCCUGGGUGUCUGAGGAACACCAGGAAAGGCUCUUUCUCCUUCUUUUCACUAUAUCCUGUCCAGUGGGAAAUGAGAUGCAGAGUCCAUAAAUGUCAGAGGACCAUCUGAAUGUGGACAGCUCUGCACAUCUGCCAGCUAAGUCAGGAAUGGAAACGUUGAAUUUAUCAAUAAGGAAUCUUUAUAUGGAUUUGUUGUUAUCCCUGGAGAACUGAAGUCCAUAAACCGAUGAAUAAAUUACCAUGGGAGAAACUCUUCACUGGUGAUGAGUGCUAUCUUGUUCAGCUAUUACUCUUUUUAUGAAGGAAACUGCAUUUCAGUUCUCUCAUAUUGACUUUCUAGAAUACUAAGGUGCAUGACAUUUUUUCUAAAUACAUAAACACCGAGGAUUUGGGAUUUAGUGUUUUUUUUUUUUUUUUAAAAACCCAUUCUCUUGGGAUAAAAUUAGGGGUAUAGCUUUUCUUUUGCAACAUCAUG